rnacentral:lncRNA from 12 species
CUUGUGACCAAACAAUUAAUACCUUAAUGCCCUUUGUAAUGAUGAUCUCUCUCCCCAUGAGGACCACAGGCUAAAGGGCACUGGGCCCUUUGAAACUGCCACUCUCUCUACUACCACAUGAGCUGAGGCUGCAUCAUAAAAUAGAUCCACCAGAAAAAUAUGGAUUAACUGGGAAGGUGUUUGGUCUGCAAUCAAGAACUAGGUAAAAAAAAGAAAAGGAAUGCACCACCAUGUACCUGAGCAAUCAAGCUGGAGUAUCUCUAGUCUGAUUAGCUAGUGAUAUCCCAACAUCAAGUCUGUGCUGUACCUUUUGUCUUUGACAUGGGCAAUAUCUAAUGUGGUGGGUCAGUAAGAAGAGCUUCUUGCCCACAUUAGUAC